UAUUAGGUUGGUGCAAAAGUAAUUGCAGCUUUUGCCAUUGCUUUUGAAAAUGGAGGAAACUGCAAUUACUUUUCACCAACCUAAUA
ensembl:miRNA